CCGCAUGGAAGGGCCAUCGCUCAACGGAUAAAAGCUACCCCGGGGAUAACAGGCUUAUCUCCCCCAAGAGUUCACAUCGACGGGGAGGUUUGGCACCUCGAUGUCGGCUCAUCGCAUCCUGGGGCUGUAGUCGGUCCCAAGGGUUGGGCUGUUCGCCCAUUAAAGCGGUACGCGAGCUGGGUUCAGAACGUCGUGAGACAGUUCGGUCCCUAUCCGUCGUGGGCGUAGGAAAUUUGAGAGGAGCUGUCCUUAGUACGAGAGGACCGGGAUGGACAUACCUCUGGUGUACCAGUUGUCGUGCCAACGGCAUAGCUGGGUAGCUAUGUGUGGACGGGAUAAGUGCUGAAAGCAUCUAAGCAUGAAGCCCCCCUCAAGAUGAGAUUUCCCAACUUCGGUUAUAAGAUCCCUCAAAGAUGAUGAGGUUAAUAGGUUCGAGGUGGAAGCAUGGUGACAUGUGGAGCUGACGAAUACUAAUCGAUCGAAGACUUAAUCAA
rnacentral:rRNA from 1 species